GCCAGUAUGGCUCAGUGGUUGAGCGUCUGCCUAUGAACCAGGAGGUCAUAGUUCAAUUCCUUGUCAGGGCA
rfam:Myotis brandtii contig324553, whole genome shotgun sequence.